rnacentral:rRNA from 1 species
CGGGAAUUCGAUUUUCCGGUUGAUCCUGCCGGACCUUACUGCUAUCGGGGUGAGACUAAGCCAUGCAAGUCGCACGCAUCCUAGCUAUGGUGGGAGCGUGGCAUACGGCUCAGUAAAACAUGGUCAAUCUACCCUUAAGACGGAUAUAAACCCGGGAAACUGGGGUUAAUGGCCGAUAGAUGAGAACCGCUUGGAAUUAGCAUCUCGUCCAAAGGAUGUCAGAGCCAUGCUUUUGACAUUGCUUAAGGAUGAGACCAUGCCCGAUCAGGCAGUUGGUGAGGUAACGGCUCACCAAACCUAUAACCGGUACGGGCCGUGAGAGCGGAAGCCCGGAGAUGGGCCCUGAGACAAGGGCCCAGGCCCUACGGGGCGCAGCAGGCGCGAAAACUUCGCAAUGCGCGAAAGCGUGACGAGGUCACCCCGAGUGCCACCUGAUGAAGGUGGCUUUUCCCCGCGUAUAACAAGCCGGGGGAAUAAGGGGAGGGCAAGCCUGAUGUCAGCCGCCGCGGUAAUACCAGCUCCCCGAGUAGUGAGGACGAUUAUUGGGCCUAAAGCAUCCGUAGCCGGCCAAGUAGGUUUCUCGUUAAAUCUAGCGAUCCAAUCGUUAGGCUGCGGGAAAUACCGCUAGGCUAGGGGGCGGAAGAGGCCGACGGUACUCUUAGGGUAGGGGUGAAAUCCUAUAAUCCUGAGAGGACCACCAGUGGCGAAGGCGGUCGGCCAGAACGCGCCCGACGGUGAGGGAUGAAAGCUGGGGGAGCGAACCGGAUUAGAUACCCGGGUAGUCCCGGCUGUAAACGA